GUCAACUGUGCGGAUGGCUUCAGGCGUGUUCGUUUUACCUCCAGCUUUAAAAGCUUCAAACUUAUGAGGGACGGGAGGGUGCUCAGAAGUAAUAAAAACUGUGUUCCGCUGCGAAUGGCGCAACAGAGAGCAUCUGGGAACCUAAACGGACAAAAAUGCUGCAGCAAUCAUAAUGGGGUCUCUACAAUUCACUGACGUAAAGAACACGAACUAAGAAUUGGAAAGCAAGGCAUAAUAAAUGGUGAAAUUUCAAGUAUU